rnacentral:rRNA from 1 species
UACGGAGGGUGCGAGCGUUGUCCGGAAUCAUUGGGCGUAAAGCGCGUGUAGGCGGUCCGGUAAGUCCGCUGUGAAAGUCGAGGGCUCAACCCUCGAAUGCCGGUGGAUACUGUCGGGCUUGAGUACGGGAGAGGCGAGUGGAAUUCCUGGUGUAGCGGUGAAAUGCGCAGAUAUCAGGAGGAACACCGAUUGCGAAGGCAGCUCGCUGGAACGUUACUGACGCUGAGACGCGAAAAGCGUGGGUAGCAAACAGG